rnacentral:rRNA from 1 species
UACGAAGGGGGCUAGCGUUGUUCGGAAUUACUGGGCGUAAAGCGCGCGUAGGCGGACAUUUUAAGUCAGGGGGUGAAAUGCCGGGGCUCAACCUCGGAACUGCCUUUGAUACUGGGUGUCUGGAGUUCGGGAGAGGUGAGUGGAAUUCCGAGUGUAGAGGUGAAAUUCGUAGAUAUUCGGAGGAACACCGGUGGCGAAGGCGGGUCUCUGGGCA